CCUGUCCCUAGAUACACUGCAGGUGUGGCUGCCACAUCACAUGCGCACCAGUGGACAGCAGAGAGGAGAGAGGCUGUGUGUGUGCUCAGUGUUCUGACCCAUGAACACCUGAAUGUCUAGUGGUCUAAUACU